UCCCCUUUCCUCAUUAGAAGAAAAUCUAUUUGUGUUUUUGACGACCCACUCUUGUAGGUGAUCACAUAUUCUUCUCUCUUCUUAAAGAAGGUGUUGGCUAAGAAGAGAUCAUAUGCCAUUGCAAAAUCCAAACCCUCAACACAUUUUCUUGACUCUGAUUGCCAAAGCAAGUAUGCUAUACCCCCACAAAUGUAGAUGAAUUGAUUAAAUUUUCUUGACUUUGGGAGUUUGGAUUAUUGAUGGUAUACAUAAGCAAUUGCGUAUUCUUGGACUAAACUAUCCAUUGUACCAAGAUUUAUAAUUUGUCAUGCUACUGAAAUAGUGUUAACCAUUAGAGUUAAGAACCACCGGUCAGGUUUUCAUUGCAAGAUAUGAAUAAUUUUCUUAAUAUGCAAUUAAUUUUAUAAUUAGUUAACCGUAUGCUUGUGGAAGAAAAGGAUAAACAAAACUAAUUAAGAUGAAACUGGGGUACAUAGUGAUAAGUUUCUAAUUAGUUAAGCCGUAUGCGCGAAAUUAGCCGGUAAUUACAUGGCAGACUCAUGUAAUACUAGUCAAAUACGAACAAUAAACAAGUCGAGUUAGUGCACUGUAGGCCACAAUAGAAUUACCAUAGACAAAACUAGUCAUAUUUUUCAAGCACUUGGGAAUGGUCCCAGAAAAGUUGAUGUGACCAAGGUAUAAGAUACGAAGGAGGGAAGAUAGCACAAUUGCUGGGGAAGAUGUCCGCUUGAAAAGUUGGAUCGCAAUCUUAGCACAGACAAAUCUGCCAUGUUUGAUAUCUUUCGUCCUGUUUUUCGUUUCGCUGAUGUUUCUUUGGCUUUCUAUUCGCGGGUUUAGGCCUCACACCCCCUUGUAUUCUUCUAUUUUUGUGUUUCAUUACUUAAUAAAUUUCGAAGAUAGGGAUGGGGGUUAUUCUAUUGAGAAGUUAACCCUUUCUAAUUGCUCUGUGCGCGAAGAAAGUAGCCUACUUUAUAGUUAUAACUGUUCAUAAGGUCUUGGUUCUUUCUUACCCCCUUAUGCACGUUAGAGAGUAAGAUUGCUAUUGUAGUCUAUUAUAUGUAUUUCAACUCGCCUAGUCCAUUAUUAUCAAUAUAUAGAAAGCAAUCAGCAAGUAAAAGCAAUAAUGUUGACGCUCAACUAGUCAAAGUCUUUCUUUCCUUUGAUAUAUCUAUUUUUAUUGUCCUUUGUUGAAAGUUCCUCUCUCUGACUUUUAUACGUCGGAGCUUGAAUAAACGUUCAAAAUGUGAAUUUUCACAUUGGCGUACGUCAAAAUUCCACUGAACAUGGUGGAGAUUGUAAUUUGCAAGUUCGCAACAUGCAAGACCGCUGCCCGAUGAGGUAGUCAAGUUCCUUAUCACAAAGAGUCAUUUCUCCUUAUGUAAAAGUUCAAUCCGAUGGUAAUUUCCAGGUUACAAAGAAAAAUAAACUACGACCAAGGUUUUUACUUAGUUGAAGUAAUAAUGGUAGGGUGCAUGACUUUACUGGUUGUACAUACUGAUGAUUUUGGUAUGAAUAUAUGUGUGGCUGGUCGAAUUGUAAUUGCAUUUAGGAGGACAUUCCAUGAUGCAUUAUUAGGUUUGGCAUGGUCAAAUACUUAAAUUGAUUGGCUACAGUACUUACACAUAUUAUUGCACAUGAAUAUAUAACUUUCUUUGCCAAAACAGCAAUAUUUACUCUGUUUAUUUGCUGGUCUAACACAAAUUGAUCUUUUCUGUUUUAUUUUUUAUUUUUAGGGUAAUUGAAACACGUCCUGCCUAAAAAAAUAUCAAAUGACAAAUGCCAAUGCUGUCCCACCAUGAAAUUGCAAGGAACGUGCGAGUGGGGUGGGGGUGACUCUCUUAUUUGUUUUACUAAGAAAUUGUUAUUAGCACUGUAUAAGAGUCAUUAUUUCUGCUUUCUUAAUUUUUUUUUUUCAAUAAGGGGAACAAGCAGUCUUUUCCUUUGUGGUGAAGUCAAUGAUGCCCAGAAAUUCCAAGUCCUCAACACAUUUUCUUGACUUUGGGAGUCGGGAUUAAUUAGAGUUACGAGCCACGAGUUGGGUUUUUGUUGCAAGAUAUGAAUAGUUUUCUUAAUAUGUAAUUAAUUUUCUAAUUAGUUAAGCCGUGUGCGUGUGGAAGAAAAGGAUAAACAAAACUAAUAUGUAAUACGAUUAGUCAAAUA
rnacentral:lncRNA from 1 species